rnacentral:rRNA from 1 species
UACGUAGGGUGCAAGCGUUGUCCGGAAUUAUUGGGCGUAAAGAGCUCGUAGGCGGUCUGUCGCGUCUGCUGUGAAAACUCAGGGCUUAACCCUGAGCUUGCAGUGGGUACGGGCAGACUAGAGUGCGGUAGGGGAGACUGGAAUUCCUGGUGUAGCGGUGAAAUGCGCAGAUAUCAGGAGGAACACCAACGGCGAAGGCAGCACUCUGGGCCGGUACUGACGCUGGAGGAGCGAAAGCGUGGGGAGCAAACAGG